rnacentral:rRNA from 1 species
GGGUCAGUAGGUUGGUCGUGCCACCGGUACGUACUGGUCUCACUGAUUCCUCCUUCCUGAAGAACCGUAAUGCCAUUAAUUUGGUGUUGCGGGGAAACAGGACUGUUACUUUGAAAAAAUUAGAGUGUUUAAAGCAAGCUAGCGCUUGAAUACAUUAGCAUGGAAUAAUGAAAUAGGACGAUCGAUCCUAUUUUGUUGGUUUCUAGGAUUGACGUA